GACGAACGCUGGCGGCGUGCUUAACACAUGCAAGUCGAACGGAAAGGCCCUGCUUUUGUGGGGUGCUCGAGUGGCGAACGGGUGAGUAACACGUGAGUAACCUGCCCUUGACUUUGGGAUAACUUCAGGAAACUGGGGCUAAUACCGGAUAGGAGCUCCUGCUGCAUGGUGGGGGUUGGAAAGUUUCGGCGGUUGGGGAUGGACUCGCGGCUCAUCAGCUUGUUGGUGGGGUAGUGGCUUACCAAGGCUUUGACGGGUAGCCGGCCUGAGAGGGUGACCGGCCACAUUGGGACUGAGAUACGGCCCAGACUCCUACGGGAGGCAGCAGUGGGGAAUAUUGCACAAUGGGCGGAAGCCUGAUGCAGCAACGCCGCGUGCGGGAUGACGGCCUUCGGGUUGUAAACCGCUUUCGCCUGUGACGAAGCGUGAGUGACGGUAAUGGGUAAAGAAGCACCGGCUAACUACGUG
rnacentral:rRNA from 1 species